rnacentral:pre_miRNA from 1 species
AGUGGGAUAGCUGGGUCAAAUAGUGAUUCCAUUCCCAAUUUUCAAAGAAACCUCCAUACUGCUUUUCAUAUUGGCAGCACCAUUUUGUAGUCCCACCAGCAAU